rnacentral:rRNA from 1 species
CCUACGGGGAGCAGCAGUGGGGAAUCUUCCGCAAUGGGCGCAAGCCUGACGGAGCAACGCCGCGUGAAUGAAGAAGGUCUUCGGAUCGUAAAGUUCUGUUCUUAGGGAAGAAGACUUAGGUUGUGAAUAAUGACUUAAGGUGACGGUACCUAUGGAGAAAGUUCCGGCUAACUACGAGCCAGCAGCAGCGGUAAUACGUAGGGAGUGAGCGUUGUUCGGAAUUACUGGGCGUAAAGGGCGCGUAGGCGGGAACUUAAGUUAGAUGUGAAAACUCCGGGCUUAAGCUGGAGACUGCAUUUAAAACUGGGUUUCUUGAAGGCGGGAGAGGAAAGUGGAAUUCCUGGUGUAGCGGUGAAAUGCGUAGAUAUUAGGAGGAACACCAGUGGCGAAGGCGACUUUCUGGACUGUAACUGACGCUGAGGCGCGAAAGCAUGGGUAGCGAACAGGAUUAGAUACCCGAGUAGUC